AUUGAACGCUGGCGGCAUGCCUUACACAUGCAAGUCGAACGGCAGCACGGAGCUUGCUCUGGUGGCGAGUGGCGAACGGGUGAGUAAUAUAUCGGAACGUACCCAAGAGUGGGGGAUAACGUAGCGAAAGUUACGCUAAUACCGCAUACGAUCUAAGGAUGAAAGUGGGGGAUCGCAAGACCUCAUGCUCCUGGAGCGGCCGAUAUCUGAUUAGCCAGUUGGUGAGGUAAAGGCUCACCAAGGCAUCGAUCAGUAGCUGGUCUGAGAGGACGACCAGCCACACUGGAACUUAGACACGGUCCAGACUCCUACGGGAGGCAGCAGUGGGGAAUUUUGGACAAUGGGGGCAACCCUGAUCCAGCAAUGCCGCGUGAGUGAAGAAGGCCUUCGGGUUGUAAAGCUCUUUUGUCAGGGAAGAAACGGUGAAGGCUAAUAUCCUUUGCUAAUGACGGUACCUGAAGAAUAAGCACCGGCUAACUACGUGCCAGCAGCCGCCGUAAAAC
rnacentral:rRNA from 1 species